rnacentral:rRNA from 1 species
AAGUGCGAGUGGCGAACGGGUGAGUAACACGUGGGCAAUCUGCCCAAAAGUGGGGGAUAACACUUGGAAACAGGUGCUAAUACCGCAUCAACCGGCUGACCGCAUGGUCGGCCGGGCAAAGACGGCGUCAGCUGUCGCUUUUGGAUGAGCCCGCGGCGUAUUAACUAGUUGGUAAGGUAACGGCUUACCAAGGUGAUGAUACGUAGCCGAACUGAGAGGUUGAUCGGCCACAUUGGGACUGAGACACGGCCCAAACUCCUACGGGAGGCAGCAGUAGGGAAUCUUCCACAAUGGACGCAAGUCUGAUGGAGCAACGCCGCGUGUAUGAAGAAGGUCUUCGGAUCGUAAAAUACUGUUGUCAGAGAAGAACACGUGAUAGAGUAACUGCUAUGGCGCUGACGGUAUCUGACCAGCAAGUCACGGCUAACUACGUGCCAGCAGCCGCGGUAAUACGUAGGUGGCAAGCGUUGUCCGGAUUUAUUGGGCGUAAAGGGAACGCAGGCGGUCUUUUAAGUCUGAUGUGAAAGCCUUCGGCUUAACCGGAGAAGUGCAUUGGAAACUGGAAGACUUGAGUGCAGAAGAGGAGAGUGGAACUCCAUGUGUAGCGGUGAAAUGCGUAGAUAUAUGGAAGAACACCAGUGGCGAAAGCGGCUCUCUGGUCUGUAACUGACGCUGA